UUGGGAUAGGAUAUCUAUUAACAAAACACUUAAGGAAUUUUUAUAGCUUAUUUUGUCAGUUUAUAAACCAUCUUUCAAUAACAGGGUUCUCAGGCUGGCAUACAAACAAUACAAUAAAUUGUUGUAGAAGCUGCAGCAAAAACCUCUAAGAUCUAGCAGAAAACAAUAAAACUAAAAAAAUUGCUGCAAUUUCUGGUGCCAAAAAGACAUCAAAAUUGGAACCUGUUACACUUCUUGAGAGAGAAUAUUACACAUCAGAGGUACAACAGUGGGACAGCUCUAUAUCCUUUUAUCACCAGCCACACACAACUUAAGGCUUUACAGCAAGGUUGGGGAAGUGGAUCUAGCCAGGAGGAGAGUUCACCCACCUAUCAAUCAUCUAACAACACAGUGAUGUCAGGUGACCCAUUUUUCUGCACAGCCCACAAAGCAACAACAACCAAUCAGCUGCACUGGGCUUUGCAGGUGUGGGUGAUCAGCAGUGCCUGCAAACUUCUUUUUGGCUCAGGUGCACAUAUACCUGCUCUGCACCUGGUGUCAUCAUAUAUAGGUGUAAGGCAGGUGGGUAUGGAGAGGCCUAGCAUGCCUAUUAAGCCCGUAGACCAAAGAUUCUCCACAGAAAGGUAACAAUCUACACUUUGAAUUGUGCUUGGAAAGAGAUCUAAUGCAGCUAUGUAAGCACAGACAACACCAUGGAACAAUUGCAACACUAAAGUUACGCAGUGCUAUAGAUUCCAUGAAGCAAAUAAAGAAACACAGGAUUCCACACCCUCCCCCUGCAUAAUUCUGCAAUUCAAGGUAAAAUGUGCCACAACCAGAAAUUUAUCAUCUGGCUGUCU